CCUACGGGAGGCAGCAGUAGGGAAUAUUGCUCAAUGGCGGAAACCCUGAAGCAGCAACGCCGCGUGGAGGAUGAAGGUUUUAGGAUUGUAAACUCCUUUUGUUAGAGAAGAUUAUGACGGUAUCUAACGAAUAAGCACCGGCUAACUCCGUGCCAGCAGCCGCGGGAAUACGGAGGGUGCAAGCGUUAUUCGGAAUCACUGGGCGUAAAGCGUGCGUAGGCGGGGUAAUAAGUCAGUUGGUAAACCCUUGAGUUUAACUACAGAACGGCAUUUGAAACUAGUACUCUGGAGGGUGGGAGAGGUAGGUGGAAUGCUUGGUGUAGGGGUAAAAUGCGUAGAGAUCAAGAGGAAUACUCAUUGCGAAGGCGACCUGCUGGAACAUUACUGACGCUGAGGCACGAAAGCGUGGGGAGCAAACAGGAUUAGAUACCCUAGUAGUC
rnacentral:rRNA from 1 species